rnacentral:rRNA from 1 species
AAAUUCGCCCUUCGGGGCGCAGCAGGCGCGAAAACUUUGCAAUACACGAAAGUGUGACAGGGCUAUCCCGAGUGCCAUCCGCUGAGGAAGGCUUUUACCCAGUCUAGAACGCUGGGGGAAUAAGGAGAGGGCAAGUCUGGUGUCAGCCGCCGCGGUAAUACCAGCUCUCCGAGUGGUGUGGAUGUUUAUUGGGCCUAAAGCAUCCGUAGCUGGCUAAGUUAGUCCCCUGUUAAAUCCACCGAAUUAAUCGUUGGAUUGCGGGGGAUACUGCUUGGCUAGGGGACGAGAGAGGCAGACGGUAUUUCCGGGGUAGGGGUGAAAUCCUAUAAUCCCGGGAAGACCACCAGUGGCGAAGGCUGUCUGCUAGAACGCGCCCGACGGUGAGGGAUGAAAGCUGGGGGAGCGAACCGGAUUAGAUACCCGGGUAGUCCCAGCUGUAAACGAUGCAGGCUAGGUGUUUGGACGGCCACGUGCCGUUCUAGUGCCGCAGGGAAGCUGUUAAGCCUGCCGCCUGGGGAGUACGAUCGCAAGAUUGAAACUUAAAGGAAUUGGCGGGGGAGCAC